AGGUUUGUCUUCAGCUGUUGUAAAAGGAAUAUGUGCUGCUGCUGCUGUUAUUGCUGUUCUGCUGGUUGUAGCUGUAGCUGUAACUGUUGGUGUGAUUUACUGUUGCCGCAGGAGCCAUGCGCUAGUACCACAGACUGAGCAUGAUACUCCGAUGGACGAGCAGCCGAGCGAGGGAGGGGCUGGAGGUGGAGUGAGGAUUUGACUAAAAAUGAUUAAGAAACAAUACUAUAAUAAAAAAAAAAAAAUUGUCAAAACUCUGUGAAACUACACUGCUCAAUGCUGCAAAUACAUGUUAGGCAUGUAAAUGACACUGAAGAGAAUUGUUGGAGAGAAGAGGUCACUCACAGAGUAAAGUGUCACAAUUACAGGAUUUUAAUAGUCGGCACCGUGCACUACCAGUCAUAUUUCACCUAUUAUCAAUUUAAUAGUUUACAUCCUCAACAUUAUCAAGUUUACAUCCUCUUAUAACUGAUACCUUACCAAGACAGGCAUUAUGACCCAGACUUUACUCCUCAACACAGUCUUGUACUGAAGGACAGUCUGUACUAUACUGUGAUCAUACGGUGCCACUACUAACACCAACACUAGACAUCCGUCUUCAUCAGAAAACACUCUCCGAACAAAACCUACCUUAAUAAGUUUGAGUAUUUAUUCUGUUACGUACGUGAUACAGGCUGUGUUAAAUGUUGAAAAACACUUGAUGGAGGAAUGUUCCAGCAAAUAAAACACACAAAUGAGUUUAUACUUGAUAAAACAAUGUGAUUCAUUUAUAGUGGUACCUAACAUGUUUGUUAGAUAUAUAUCUUUAUCUGCUGCUGAAAUGUGCAAAAAUAACUAACAGGGAAAUUGCAACAUUUAGUCUUUUUACCAGAAGUUGUGAACAAAUCUGUGACAUUUUAUGAGGUGCUUAUUAGUUUUAUUUGUUGACAUGUGAGGAGAUGAAGACCUGUCAUGUCAUUUGUCUUUUUUUCCACAUCUUGUGCCUCUUUUAGUGUUCAGCUGUUGUCUUUUUAAACUCGUGGCAUUUUUGUAUUUUGGUGGUUGUGUUUGUCUUGUAGAAUAUUAUGACUGUUUGAUGGAGACGAUUGCCUUCAUUUAAAUACUCUGUUUGGCCUUCUAGUCAGACUUUUCCAUGUUCUUAUUUUUGGAUUUAUAUUUCAUCUGGUGCUCAUUAUAAAUAUAUAAAUAGCCUCAGAGUGUCUCAUGAAGUUUAUGUUAGGUAAAUGUUACAAAAGAAAUCAAAUGUGACAAAACUAAUAUAUGCUAAAAGCCUGCACCAAAGGUUUCUUUUUACUAAUUAUUUUAUUAUUAUUAUAAAAAUAAGCUGUUAAAGACAAAUAUUGUGGGGGUUUUUUGCACUCUGGGUAGAAUAUUUUUAUAUUCAUUUGUUUUUCUGUCUUCCUUAUAUUUUAUAUUAGCCAAGGGGAAAUGCGCCUUGAAAUAAAACGUACAUAAUUGUUUUCUGAAACAAGGCAAUAAACUUGCAAAAUCAUUGUAUGUUUAUGUGAUAAAUGUUAUUAAAAACUUCAUUCAUUUA